ACGAGUCCUUUACUGACGCUAAAGCUCGAAGGUGCGGGUAUCGAACAGGAUUAGAUACCUGGUAGUCCGCACGGUAAACGAUGGAUGCCCGCUGUUGGCGAUACAAUGUCAGCGGCCAAGCGAAAGCGUUAAGCAUCCCACCUGGGGAGUACGCCGGCAACGGUGAAACUCAAAGGAAUUGACGGGGGCCCGCACAAGCGGAGGAACAUGUGGUUUAAUUCGAUGAUACGCGAGGAACCUUACCCGGGCUUGAACUGCCAGCGAACGAUACAGAGAUGUUGAGGCCCUUCGGGGCGCUGGUGGAGGUGCUGCAUGGUUGUCGUCAGCUCGUGCCGUGAGGUGUCGGCUUAAGUGCCAUAACGAGCGCAACCCCUUUCUUCAGUUGCCAUCAGGCAAAGCUGGGCACUCUGGAGACACUGCCGCCGUAAGGUGCGAGGAAGGUGGGGAUGACGUCAAAUCAGCACGGCCCUUACGUCCGGGGCUACACACGUGUUACAAUGGGUGGUACAGAGAGUCGGCCGUCCGCAAGUGCGGUCCAAUCAGGAAAGCCAUCCUCAGUUCGGAUUGGGGUCUGCAACCCGACCCCAUGAAGCUGGAUUC
rnacentral:rRNA from 1 species